rnacentral:rRNA from 1 species
CUACGUGCCAGCAGCCGCGGUAAUACGGAAGGUCCAGGCGUUAUCCGGAUUUAUUGGGUUUAAAGGGAGCGUAGGCUGGAGAUUAAGUGUGUUGUGAAAUGUAGACGCUCAACGUCUGAAUUGCAGCGCAUACUGGUUUCCUUGAGUACGCACAACGUUGGCGGAAUUCGUCGUGUAGCGGUGAAAUGCUUAGAUAUGACGAAGAACUCCGAUUGCGAAGGCAGCUGACGGGAGCGCAACUGACGCUUAAGCUCGAAGGUGCGGGUAUCAAACAGGAUUAGAUACCCUGGUAGUCCGCACAGUAAACGAUGGAUGCCCGCUGUUGGUACCUGGUAUCAGCGGCUAAGCGAAAGCAUUAAGCAUCCCACCUGGGGAGUACGCUGGCAACGGUGAAACUCAAAGGAAUUGACGGGGGCCCGCACAAGCGGAGGAACAUGUGGUUUAAUUCGAUGAUACGCGAGGAACCUUACCCGGGCU